rnacentral:rRNA from 1 species
AUUGAACGCUGGCGGCAGGCUUAACACAUGCAAGUCGAACGAGUGGCGGACGGGUGAGUAAUGUAUGGGAAACUGCCCGAUGGAUGGGGAUAACUACUGGAAACGGUAGCUAAUACCGCAUACCAUCGGAUGUGCCCAGAUGGGAUUAUCUUGUAGGUGAGGUAACGGCUCACCUGGGCGACGAUCCCUCGCUGGUCUGAGAGGAUGAUCAGUCACACUGGAACUGAGACACGGUCCAGACUCCUACGAGAGGCAGGAGUGGGGAAUAUGGGACAAUGGGCGAAAGCCUGAUCCAGCCAUGCCGCGUGUGUGAAGAAGGUCUUCGGGUUGUAAAGCACUUUAAGUUGGGAGGCGUUACCAACAGAAGAAGCACCGGCUAACUACGUGCCAGCAGCCGCGGUAAUUC